ensembl:snRNA LOC120102109 U2 spliceosomal RNA
AUCGCUUCUCGGCCUUUUGGCUAAGAUCAAGUGUAGUAUCUGUUCUUAUCAGUAGUGGUUGGGAAACAUUUACACAUGCAUCUGUUAAUUUGGUUACCAGUUUCCAUCAAAUUUCUUCCCUGUGAGUUGUAUGUUGUUUCUGAAGUACAAACUAACUUUUUUCAAGCAAUGGCCCUU